rnacentral:lncRNA from 1 species
CUGUUAGGAAAGUUCGGCCACUGACGAACUGACAAAGUUCUGGAAGAAAUUCGGAUUGGAGUCGAUCGAAUCCUGUUGGGAGAAAAUCUGGAAGAGGUCCGGAGAACGGUUGACCCUUGUAGGAGGUCGGCCGACAGUAGAAUCCCGAGAGCAUUUGGAGCAGCCUGAUAGACGACUGAAGAAGCUCAUCGUUGGAGAAGUCUGGGAGAUGCGGCAAGGG